rnacentral:rRNA from 1 species
AUACGUAGGUGGCAAGCGUUGUCCGGAAUUAUUGGGCGUAAAGCGCGCGCAGGCGGUCCUUUAAGUCUGAUGUGAAAGCCCACGGCUCAACCGUGGAGGGUCAUUGGAAACUGGGGGACUUGAGUGCAGAAGAGGAAAGUGGAAUUCCAAGUGUAGCGGUGAAAUGCGUAGUGAUUUGGAGGAACACCAGGGGCGAAGGCGACUUUCUGGUCUGUAGCGGAGGCUGAGGCGCGAAAGCGUGGGGAGCAAACAGGAUUAAUUACCCGGGGAGCCCACGCUGAAAACGAUGAGUGCUAAGUGUUGGGGGGUUUCCGCCCCUCAGUGCUGCAGCUAACGCAUUAAGCACUCCGCCUGGGGAGUACGGUCGCAAGACUGAAACUCAAAGGAAUUGACGGGG